UUCAUUCUCAAACUCUAGAACUAGGGAGGGACUCAAGAAUGGUCAUAGCCUGGCAAGAUCUGAUAGUCUAACACAUGUAUUUUAUGCCCCUCCUUGGGAAUUGGGAUUCACAUUAACCUAUUAAAGGCUCUGAGAAGUCUUGCAGGAAGUAACCCUAUGCAUUUCUUCAGUGCAGCGUUUUCAGAUUUCACUCCAGCAUCCACUGCUCUCCACCACCAGAGAACACCAGUGAAUAGCCUGGGAUGCAAACACUUUGGAAAUGCUGUUCUGUGCCAUUCUUUAGCUUGAGUAGCAUUAUCACGAUCAGUGAGUUUUAUUGGUGAACAAGAGACGGUAGAAGAAGAAACACAGCCAGCAGUGACUUUGCCUCCAGCACACUGCAGAGCUUCUCUCUCUCGGGAAGAGAGGGGAUCGGGGUCGUCACAGUGCACCCAUCUCAUGGGCUGUUCCUGGGGGCCGUGCUCUGGAGCCCUGGAGACACAGCAGCAAAUCCUUCCAAGUCCAGGCCUCCUGGAGAACGCUGUCCACACAAGAAGCCAGGUAAGUGAAUGCUCACUCGGUCUGUAGCCCUCAUUCUGCGCUCCAGCUCUUUGAUCCCUCUGAGGGCAUCCAGAAGAGCAGCUAAUUCAGCAAUAGGACAUUCACUGUAAAGAUGUUACUACUGCACAAUUUUUGUUCCAUUGUAUUACCUUGAAUAUAUAACGAGCUCUUCUGAUAGCAAAAGUAUUUUUCCUAUUCCCUUGUCAAGAGGAAACAAAUCAC
rnacentral:lncRNA from 1 species